GCAGCCAUCGAGGGGGGAUUCACUCAGACUGUCGAGGUGAAACACUUGUGUCCACAGCUGAAGUCUCUGCCCAGAGCUGUCGCUGUUAGGACGGCGUACGAGACCAGGAAGAGUUCAGCUUGUCUGCUCUGUACUCCGCUCCGCCAGCGCUGGACUUGGGGAACCAGACACUGAGGGUUCAGUUCAGAGCCGUUUGGAGGUGAUGCUGGAGCGCUCCUCACAUGCCAGGCUCUACAGCGUCUCACUGGGCUGGACAAGACACGGACGUCUGGAGCAGGCUUAAGUUGUCAGUGAAUGGAGUCGCUCUGAGGAGAGGAAUGAGACCAAGCUGGAUCUGCAGCAGCCUUUUUCCUCCUCACUGAGCAAGCUGUCCUUGCAGACGGUGUCCCACAGCUCACAGAGGGACCAGCGCAGCAGGCCCGUCUGUCGUGGGAAAGUGCAGUCCCUGCCAACGUCCCGGUCAGCCUGCACCAGCAGUGGCAGAGCAACUCCAGCAGGGGGCAGCUCUGCGCGCUGCUGGCAGCACUGCAGCCAGCGGCGUCAGUGGCCCAGGAGGGGGACUCAUAUAUUCACAAAGUGCAGAGUUAAGAUGGGGCAACAGUACUGUCGAGCAGGGCUUGAAGUACCAGAAGAAUCUGCGAGGCAUGCACAGUCUUCAGCUCCUCGCCGGUCUGGACAGAGUGUCCCCUGAACCCCGUCCAUCACACACACUCCUCGCCAAAGUUCAAACAAACCUCAGGGACCGCUUGGAGCACACAGUGCUGUUGAGCAUUUGUCCUGCGCAGCCUGCCGGCCAACAAACCUACUCCUGGACUGAAACCAGAUUAGCCUCAGCUCUGUCUGGAGUCAGGACAAGUUCUCCUCAAGAGAAUGUGCGGUGAGCGUCUCAGUGCCGCAUGUGUCCUCGCUGAGGGCGGCUGAGGCGGAGCUGACGGAGAUCCUCCUGGAGGAGUGGCUCCUGAGGCUCCUGAGGCUCCUGAGGCCCCUGCAGGCCCUCGCUGCUGUCAGGCCCAGUGCAGAGUUUUACCACCUGAAGAGGAAGAUGAUGGACAGCCCCUUCAUACACCAAGCUCUUCUGGUGGCUGGCCGGUUCGUGGUGACGUUUGACGGCCGUCUGUACGAGCUGCCCGCCCCGUGUCCACUGCUCCUGGCCCAGGACGUCGGCACCAAGCCGUCGUUCACGCUGGUGCUCAACAGCCACUCGGACACCUUCCUGCUGGUGCACCUGAACAACCACACCAUCAGCAUCCAGCACAUUGG